rnacentral:rRNA from 1 species
UACAGGGGGUGCAAACGUUGCUCGGAAUCAUUGGGCGUAAAGCGCACGUAGGCGGCAUUGCAAGUCCCAUGUGAAAGCCCACGGCUUAACCGUGGAAGUGCAUCCGAAACUGCUGAGCUUGAGUACUUAAGAGGAUCGCGGAAUUCCUGGUGUAGCGGUGAAAUGCGCAGAUAUCAGGAAGAACACCCGUGGCGAAGGCGGUCUCUGGACGGUACGACGCUGAGACGCGAAAGCGUGGGGAGCGAACAGG